AUUAACACUUUCAUUACCGCUACGAUUUUCACGAUGUUUUCUCGGGAGCCGCCUACAUUUUACGUUGGACUCGCUAGGUGAGUCGCCGGCGCUGCGAUACGAAUCAUUCGACUCGCCACGCGAGUUCAGUGGCAUUGCGUUAGGGUAAAAACUAUGUUCUGUUAUUUUUGUGGCCGUGACAGUGUACGUUACGUGUUUAAAGCAAUUAACUAGUAUAUGGUGUAAUUUAACAAAAAGAAAAUGGCAAGAAACACUAUAAAUAAACGAAAAGGCCACCACAAAACACAAUAACAUAGAACACAAGAAUCUCAAAGUCCAGAAAACGUUUGCCAGGGGUUAAAACAGUAGGUACUCCAACAGGUCCAGUAAUCGAAAGCCAAGUCACAAUGAUAGAAAACAAAUAUACGCGUGCGAUAAGGAAAGGGUCGUGCUUAACACUAAUCUAUAUAUAAAGAAAGUCGGGUUUGUUACAACACUUCACUCGAGAUUGACCAAUGAGAGCUUGGCAAAAACAAUGUUAUCAGUGCUUUUAUUGCUUACUAACCAGAGCGUUCAUGUUAAAAAAUACCGGUUCCUUUUGUUUUGCCGGCAAUUUUUAACAAUGCGAAGGGAUCCUCUUUCAGUUGUAACUCUUAAAGUAAUAGACCGAGAGUUGAGUUUGUGUUUUCUGCACCGUUCGUUUAACAAAAACGCAAGGACAGACUCAAAAACUUAGAAGUACCCAUUUGGUGAACACCAAAUUCGAGCCCCUACAAGGUGUCGAACACAAUCCGCCGUUGUUUUACGAGUGAAUGUGACUUUUGGUAAAAUGAAAAUAAAAGUAUCUACCUUUUA